rnacentral:lncRNA from 1 species
GGAGGCCCAGCUGGAACUUGCUGAUAUCAAAGCCAAGCUUGAGAAGAUGGCCCAGCAGAAACAAGAGAAGACCUCUGACCGGUCCUCGGUGCUGGAGGUGGAGAAGCGGGAGAGGCGAGCGCUGGAGCGGAAGAUGUCGGAGAUGGAGGAAGAGAUGAAGGUGUUGACAGAACUGAAAUCUGACAAUCAGAGGCUGAAAGAUGAAAAUGGUGCCCUCAUCAGAGUUAUCAGCAAACUGUCCAAAUAGACGAGGUCAGGUCUGGGGGGAGACGGCGUUUGCUGCCCUCCCUCCGUUUCCAGCUCUGGCCCUCUGGCUGAAAGACCUGAAUGUGCUGGAGAAGGGCAUCUCCUCUGCACUGUACAUUGUCUCUGCACUCUCCAUGCCCCGUUGCCCCCGCACCUCUACCCCAAGUUUUACGGCAGUUUUAACUGAAGCAUGAUUGUGACCAUUUCAAGCAAUCUGGAGAAAGCUUUGUGGGGUACACCAAGCUCAGCUGUGACCCCCAACUUUCUGCUGCUUUGUCCACAUUAGUUUUGGUCCAGAUAUGUAAGGCUUUGACCCAU